rnacentral:rRNA from 1 species
AGCGAACGCUGGCGGCAGGCCUAACACAUGCAAGUCGAACGAACUCUUCGGAGUUAGUGGCGGACGGGUGAGUAACACGUGGGAACGUGCCUUUUGGUUCGGAAUAACUCAGGGAAACUUGUGCUAAUACCGAAUGUGCCCUUCGGGGGAAAGAUUUAUCGUCCAUUAGAGCGGCCCGCGUCUGAUUAGCUAGUUGGUGA